rnacentral:lncRNA from 1 species
UAAUUAAUUAAAUGUAUACAUUAUGCUGGAAAUUGAAGAAUUUACACUUGUUUAAUUUUAACACACAAAAUAAUAAUAAAUAGCACAAUCUAAUUAUUCAACAAAAUAUUCCAUAUUUUAUAAUUUCAUUUCUAUUUAGCGGAAACUUGGUAAUGCUUGGCAGAAGCAAAACCCCUCUGCCUCAAGCCAUUUUCGGCACUCAGCGGCGGGGAAGCCGAAGACAAGUAACCGGCUGAGGUCUGCGGCGGCUGGAAAUCGGAUCGGGUGCGGCGGUGGGAGGAUCCGUCGACGGAAUCUCCGGCGAGGAGGAGGUGGUAGCUUCGGCCGAUGGAGUUCUCCGACAGGGAGCGGUAAACAUUUUGCGGCUUCUGCUUCUUCACGGCGCGGAGGAGGAACGGUAUCAAGCCUUCCAUUUUCAAGCAACGGGUGGCGGCGGCGGCGGCGGCGGGUGAUUUAGAUUUCUUAAGUGCUUUGCUAAUUGAAGUAGAUAAAAUGUGAUUUGUUAAACUUACAGAAGGCCGAUAUGAAUUUAUAUACUGGUUU